rfam:Schistosoma mansoni, Puerto Rico, WGS project CABG01000000 data, contig: 0310
AGCCUUUUGAGUUAGUGGUGAGAUUUUGUCGGACACCAGCCUAUUAGGACUGAUGAGACUCUAAAGAUAAUAAAAAGCG